rnacentral:rRNA from 1 species
GACGAACGCUGGCGGCGUGCUUAACACAUGCAAGUCGAACGGAAAGGCCCUGCUUUUGUGGGGUGCUCGAGUGGCGAACGGGUGAGUAACACGUGAGUAACCUGCCCUUGACUUUGGGAUAACUUCAGGAAACUGGGGCUAAUACCGGAUAGGAGCUCCUGCUGCAUGGUGGGGGUUGGAAAGUUUCGGCGGUUGGGGAUGGACUCGCGGCUUAUCAGCUUGUUGGUGGGGUAGUGGCUUACCAAGGCUUCGACGGGUAGCCGGCCUGAGCGGGUGACCGGCCACGUUGGGACUGAGAUACGGCCCAGCCUCCUACGGGAGGCAGCAGUGGGGAAUAUUGCACAAUGGGCGGAAGCCUGAUGCAGCAACGCCGCGUGCGGGAUGACGGCCUUCGGGUUGUAAACCGCUUUCGCCUGUGACGAAGCGUGAGUGACGGUAAUGUGUAAAGAAGCACCGGCUAACUACGUG